GCCCCAGUACUGGUCUACAGACUCCUGCUUCACAUUCAGAUCAGCCUUCGCAUGCACGUGCAGAGAGAGAGAGAGAGAGAGAGAGAGAGGAAGAGAGAGAAAGAGAGAGAGGAAGAGAGAGAAAGAGAGAGAGAGAACCGCUACACAGGAUAUUAGUGAUCUGUUCAUACCGAUUCAAUCCUACACACAGAAUUAGCCAACAUUCACACACCUCGUUGAGCUCACAGAAAGUACAGGGCGGAAGUGUGGCUGUGGUGUUUUACACUAAUUCACACAAACAUCGCUGGAGUUACAGAAAAACGCCAUAACUAUGUGCGGAAGGCUUAGUCAGAGUUUGGGUGUGGAUAGAAUGACACCAGCAUCUGUUAGAGGACACUGAAAAGGCUCACUGGGUAUUCAGAACGGGGUGGGGGACACACACUCUCACACACACACACACACAUUCACACACUCACUCACACACACACACACACACACAUUCACAUAACCUCCUGCGUGCUUAUAGAGCCAUCGAGACACACACACACACCACCUGAAUGUCCAAGUAUAAAAUAUGUCAAAAAUACACACAACCUUACAAACACACACCGCCUGAUAACUCAUGAAGCUGCCAGACACAGACACACACACACACACACACACACACACACACACACACACACACACACACACCUCCCACACACUCAUAGAGCCUUCAAAAAGAUAGUGUUGCUCCUUCCCAUAUGCUGACAGUGUCUGCCUCAUGAGUGGAAUGUUUUCAACACGAUAUCAUCAAAAAAUGAGAGGUAUGAGAGAGAGGGAAACAAAGAAAGAGCGAGAGAGAGAGAGAGAGAGAGAACACAGCGCGGGAGAGAGAGAGAGAGAACACAGCGAGAGAGAGGCAUGAAUGAGGAAUCAGUGACAAAAGAGAUAGAGAAAAGAGAGAAAUCCAGACAGAGAGAUAGAGAGCAACAGAGAAAGAAAGAAAAGAAAUAGACUGAGAGAGAGACAUAAAAAGGGAGUUGUGGCAAAUAGAGCUCAUGAAUAGAAGUGAGAUGAAAGGCUGUGUGUCAGUCUGAGAAAAACUUCACACGCACACACACAAACACACACGCACACACGCACACUAGAGCUUCCAUCUCCUCCCUUCCUCUUCCCCUCUCUCCUGUA
ensembl:lncRNA